AGUGGAAUUGCUGGGUCAUAUAGUAACUCUGUUUAAUUUUUUUGAGGAACUGCCAAACUAUUUUCCAAAGUGGCUCUAUUUUACAUUCCCACCAACAGU
rnacentral:pre_miRNA from 1 species